GUACUCGCUUCGGCAGCACAUAUACUAAAAUUGGAACGAUACAGAGAAGAUUAGCAUGGCCCCUGCACAUGGAUGACAAUAAACUAUUAUAAAUUAAAAAAAUAAAA
ensembl:snRNA U6 U6 spliceosomal RNA